GUGUAUUUCUGCAAAAGCUGAACAAAUUCAGAUGGUGCAGCCUGUCAGGAGAGAAAACCAAGAUGUGGCAUUUGAAUAUUUCAGCUUGUCUUUUGAAGAGAUAGAACACUGGAGAGUGUCCUGCCUUCCUUAGACCCAUCUUAGACCCAUCACCAUCUUAGACUCCAGCGGGCUCAAGCUAAAGAGAGGACUCGAGAGAAUUGUAAACAUAGCCUCCUACCUCCUGGAUAAGUCAUGCUGCUGUGGAGGAUUUUGUGUAGGAACUGCUGACGGUGCUGUGUGUCAAACCAGAAAAGCAGCUGGAAAAGCAAGAGAAGUUACUGCAGUGGUUAAAGCUGUUGGCAAAAAGAUAUGCAGUGUGUAAGUGAUUUACUGAGGAAGACUUUACUCCAGACACAUACUUUUUCCAUUGGACCACCAUACAGACGCAG